rnacentral:rRNA from 1 species
CGCGGUAAUACGGAGGGUGCAAGCGUUAAUCGGAAUUACUGGGCGUAAAGCGCACGCAGGCGGUCUGUCAAGUCGGAUGUGAAAUCCCCGGGCUCAACCUGGGAACUGCAUUCGAAACUGGCAGGCUAGAGUCUUGUAGAGGGGGGUAGAAUUCCAGGUGUAGCGGUGAAAUGCGUAGAGAUCUGGAGGAAUACCGGUGGCGAAGGCGGCCCCCUGGACAAAGACUGACGCUCAGGUGCGAAAGCGUGGGGAGCAAACAGGAUUAGAUACCCUGGUAGUCCACGCCGUAAACGAUGUCGAUUUGGAGGUUGUGCCCUUGAGGCGUGGCUUCCGGAGCUAACGCGUUAAAUCGACCGCCUGGGGAGUACGGCCGCAAGGUUAAAACUCAAAUGAAUUGACGGGGGCCCGCACAAGCGGUGGAGCAUGUGGUUUAAUUCGAUGCAACGCGAAGAACCUUACCUGGUCUUGACAUCCACAGAACUUUCCAGAGAUGGAUUGGUGCCUUCGGGAACUGUGAGACAGGUGCUGCAUGGCUGUCGUCAGCUCGUGUUGUGAAAUGUUGGGUUAAGUCCCGCAACGAGCGCAACCCUUAUCCUUUGUUGCCAGCGGUCCGGCCGGGAACUCAAAGGAGACUGCCAGUGAUAAACUGGAGGAAGGUGGGGAUGACGUCAAGUCAUCAUGGCCCUUACGACCAGGGCUACACACGUGCUACAAUGGCAUAUACAAAGAGAAGCGACCUCGCGAGAGCAAGCGGACCUCAUAAAGUAUGUCGUAGUCCGGAUUGGAGUCUGCAACUCGACUCCAUGAAGUCGGAAUCGCUAGUAAUCGUAGAUCAGAAUGCUACGGUGAAUACGUUCCCGGGCCUUGUACACACCGCCCGUCACACCAUGGGAGUGGGUUGCAAAAGAAGUAGGUAGCUUAACCUUCGGGAGGGCGCUUACCACUUUGUGAUUC